CGGGGCGUGGCGCAGCUUGGUAGCGCGCUUGCUUUGGGAGCAAGAGGCCGGCGGUUCAAAUCCGCCCGCCCCGACCA
rnacentral:tRNA from 2 species